AGUGAACGCUGGCGGCAGGCCUAACACAUGCAAGUCGAACGGCAGCACGGCAGUAGCAAUACUGUGGGUGGCGAGUGGCGGACGGGUGAGGAAUACAUCGGGAUCUACCCUGUUGUGGGGGAUAACGUAGGGAAACUUACGCUAAUACCGCAUAAGAACUGAGGUUGAAAGCGGCGGACCGCAAGGCGUCGCGCGAUUGGAUGAACCGAUGUCCGAUUAGCUAGUUGGCGGGUAAAGGCCACCAAGGCGACGAUCGGUAGCUGGUCUGAGAGGACGACCAGCCACACUGGAACUGAGACACGGUCCAGACUCCUACGGGAGGCAGCAGUGGGGAAUAUUGGACAAUGGGCGCAAGCCUGAUCCAGCCAUGCCGCGUGGGUGAAGAAGGCCUCGG
rnacentral:rRNA from 1 species